rnacentral:lncRNA from 13 species
CCUGUUUUAAGCCACCAUGUUCCUGGUCAUCUGUUACAGCAGCACAGGAAGCUUAUGCAGAGGGGCAGGCCAGGGAUCCAGGGGCUGUGAAGAGGCUUUGUUACAAAUUAUUAAAUUCAGCAUAAUCAGAACUGGACCAAGAAAACACAAACCUUGCGUAAAAGCAACAAAAUGAGCAGCUUCCGAUGAAUCUUCAGAACGACCUUUGUUAGAGUCCAACCAAUCCCUUCUC